rnacentral:rRNA from 1 species
UUUAUGGAGAGUUUGAUCCUGGCUCAGGAUGAACGCUGGCGGCGUGCCUAAUACAUGCAAGUCGAGCGAACAGAUAAGGAGCUUGCUCCUUUGACGUUAGCGGCGGACGGGUGAGUAACACGUGGGUAACCUACCUAUAAGACUGGAAUAACUCCGGGAAACCGGGGCUAAUGCCGGAUAACAUGUUGAACCGCAUGGUUCUACAGUGAAAGACGGUCUUGCUGUCACUUAUAGAUGGACCCGCGCCGUAUUAGCUAGUUGGUGGGGUAACGGCCUACCAAGGCGACGAUAC